rnacentral:rRNA from 1 species
GGCCUUGCGCUCAUUGAGCGGCCGAUAUCAGAUUAGCUAGUUGGUGGGGUAAAAGCUCACCAAGGCGACGAUCUGUAGCGGGUCUGAGAGGAUGAUCCGCCACACUGGAACUGAGACACGGUCCAGACUCCUACGGGAGGCAGCAGUGGGGAAUUUUGGACAAUGGGGGCAACCCUGAUCCAGCCAUGCCGCGUGAGUGAAGAAGGCCUUCGGGUUGUAAAGCUCUUUCAGCCGGGAAGAAAAACGCAUUGGUUAAUACCUGAUGUGGAUGACGGUACCGGAAUAAGAAGCACCGGCUAACUACGUGCCAGCAGCCGCGGUAAUACGUAGGGUGCGAGCGUUAAUCGGAAUUACUGGGCGUAAAGCGUGCGCAGGCGGUUUUGUAAGAUAGGCGUGAAAUCCCCGGGCUUAACCUGGGAACUGCGUUUAUGACUGCAAAGCUAGAGUACGGCAGAGGGGGGUGGAAUUCCACGUGUAGCAGUGAAAUGCGUAGAGAUGUGGAGGAACACCAAUGGCGAAGGCAGCCCCCUGGGUCGAUACUGACGCUCAUGCACGAAAGCGUGGGUAGCAAACAGGAUUAGAUACCCUGGUAGUCCACGCCCUAAACGAUGUCAACUAGGUGUUGGGAGGGUAAAACCUUUUAGUACCGGAGCUAACGCGUGAAGUUGACCGCCUGGGGAGUACGGCCGCAAGGUUAAAACUCAAAGGAAUUGACGGGGACCCGCACAAGCGGUGGAUGAUGUGGAUUAAUUCGAUGCAACGCGAAAAACCUUACCUACCCUUGACAUGUCAGGAACUUGCCAGAGAUGGCUUGGUGCUCGAAAGAGAACCUGAACACAGGUGCUGCAUGGCUGUCGUCAGCUCGUGUCGUGAGAUGUUGGGUUAAGUCCCGCAACGAGCGCAACCCUUGCCGUUAAUUGCCAUCAUUUAGUUGGGCACUUUAACGAGACUGCCGGUGACAAACCGGAGGAAGGUGGGGAUGACGUCAAGUCCUCAUGGCCCUUAUGGGUAGGGCUUCACACGUCAUACAAUGGUCGGUACAAAGGGUCGCCAACCCGCGAGGGGGAGCCAAUCCCAGAAAGCCGAUCGUAGUCCGGAUUGCAGGCUGCAACUCGCCUGCAUGAAGUCGGAAUCGCUAGUAAUCGUGGAUCAGCAUGUCACGGUGAAUACGUUCCCGGGUCUUGUACACACCGCCCGUCACACCAUGGGAGCGGGUUCCGCCAGAAGUAGGUAGCCUAACCGCAAGGAGGGCGCUUACCACGGCGGGGUUCGUGACUGGGGUGAAGUCGGAACAAGGUA